GCCUGGGUGGCUCAGUCGGUUAAGCGUCUGACUUCAGCUCAGGUCAUGAUCUCGCGGUCCGUGAGUUCGAGCCCCACAUCAGGCU
rnacentral:tRNA from 1 species